UCAGAUUGAACGCUGGCGGCAGGCCUAACACAUGCAAGUCGAGCGGCAGCGGGAAAGUAGCUUGCUACUUUUGCCGGCGAGCGGCGGACGGGUGAGUAAUGCCUGGGGAUCUGCCCAGUCGAGGGGGAUAACAGUUGGAAACGACUGCUAAUACCGCAUACGCCCUACGGGGGAAAGGAGGGGACCUUCGGGCCUUUCGCGAUUGGAUGAACCCAGGUGGGAUUAGCUAGUUGGUGGGGUAAUGGCUCACCAAGGCGACGAUCCCUAGCUGGUCUGAGAGGAUGAUCAGCCACACUGGAACUGAGACACGGUCCAGACUCCUACGGGAGGCAGCAGUGGGGAAUAUUGCACAAUGGGGGAAACCCUGAUGCAGCCAUGCCGCGUGUGUGAAGAAGGCCUUCGGGUUGUAAAGCACUUUCAGCGAGGAGGAAAGGUUGGCAGCUAAUAUCUGUCAGCUGUGACG
rnacentral:rRNA from 1 species